rfam:Triticum aestivum genome assembly, contig: Triticum_aestivum_CS42_TGACv1_scaffold_594291_7BS
AAAACUAGCCAGUCUUUUGGGUAUGAAAUCCAUUUGGACGAGAGUAGUACUAGGAUGGGUGACCUCCUGGGAAGUCCUCGUGAAAGGGUUUC